rnacentral:rRNA from 1 species
GACGAACGCUGGCGGCGUGCUUGACACAUGCAAGUCGAACGGUAAGGCCCUUCGGGGUACACGAGUGGCGAACGGGUGAGUAACACGUGGGUGAUCUGCCCUGCACUUCGGGAUAAGCCUGGGAAACUGGGUCUAAUACCGGAUAGGACUCCUGGCUUCAUGGUUGGGGGUGGAAAGCUUUUGCGGUGUGGGAUGGGACCGCGGCCUAUCAGCUUGUUGGUGGGGUAAUGGCCUACCAAGGCGACGACGGGUAGCCGGCCUGAGAGGGUGACCGGUCACACUGGGACUGAGAUACGGCCCAGACUCCUACGGGAGGCAGCAGUGGGGAAUAUUGCACAAUGGGCGCAAGCCUGAUGCAGCGACGCCGCGUGAGGGAUGACGGCCUUCGGGUUGUAAACCUCUUUCAGCUAUGACGAAGCGCAAGUGACGGUAGUAGCAGAAGAAGGACCGGCCAACUACGUGCCAGCAGCCGCGGUAACAC